rnacentral:rRNA from 1 species
UACGAAGGGGGCUAGCGUUGCUCGGAAUGACUGGGCGUAAAGGGCGCGUAGGCGGAUGGCACAGUCAGAUGUGAAAUUCCCGGGCUUAACCUGGGGGCUGCAUUUGAUACGUGUGAUCUAGAGUGAGGAAGAGGGUCGUGGAAUUCCCAGUGUAGAGGUGAAAUUCGUAGAUAUUGGGAAGAACACCUGUGGCGAAGGCGGCCGACUGGGCCGACCCUGACGCUGAGGCGCGAAGGCGUGGGGAGCAAACAGG